UACAGAGGGUGCAAACGUUGUUCGGAAUUACUGGGCGUAAAGCGCGUGUAGGCGGCUGAGCAAGUCGGAUGUGAAAGCCCUGGGCUUAACCUAGGAAGUGCAUUCGAAACUGCUUGGCUUGAGUUCUGGAGAGGAAGGCGGAAUUCUCGGUGUAGAGGUGAAAUUCGUAGAUAUCGAGAGGAACACCGGUGGCGAAGGCGGCCUUCUGGACAGUGACUGACGCUGAGACGCGAAAGCGUGGGGAGCAAACAGG
rnacentral:rRNA from 1 species